rnacentral:rRNA from 1 species
CUACGGGUGGCAGCAGUGAGGAAUUUUGCGCAAUGGGCGAAAGCCUGACGCAGCAACGCCGCGUGAGUGACGAAGGCCUUCGGGUCGUAAAGCUCUGUCAAGCGGGAAGAACCCGCGGACGUCCAACAAGCGUCCGCGCUGACGGUACCGCUGAAGGAAGCACCGGCUAACUCCGUGCCAGCAGCCGCGGUAAUACGGAGGGUGCGAGCGUUAUUCGGAAUUAUUGGGCGUAAAGGGCGCGCAGGCGGCCCUGAAAGUCAGAUGUGAAAGCCCGGGGCUCAACCCCGGAAGUGCAUUUGAUACUGCAGGGCUUGAGUAUGGGAGAGGGAAGUGGAAUUCCUGGUGUAGAGGUGAAAUUCGUAGAUAUCAGGAGGAACACCGGUGGCGAAGGCGACUUCCUGGACCAAUACUGACGCUGAGGCGCGAAGGCGUGGGGAGCAAACAGGAUUAGAUACCCCAGUAGUC